rnacentral:rRNA from 1 species
UUUAACUGAAGAGUUUGAUCAUGGCUCAGAUUGAACGCUGGCGGCAGGCUUAACACAUGCAAGUCGAGCGGAGAGAGGUAGCUUGCUACUGAUCUUAGCGGCGGACGGGUGAGUAAUGCUUAGGAAUCUGCCUAUUAGUGGGGGACAACAUUUCGAAAGGAAUGCUAAUACCGCAUACGUCCUACGGGAGAAAGCAGGGGAUCUUCGGACCUUGCGCUAAUAGAUGAGCCUAAGUCGGAUUAGCUAGUUGGUGGGGUAAAGGCCUACCAAGGCGACGAUCUGUAGCGGGUCUGAGAGGAUGAUCCGCCACACUGGGACUGAGACACGGCCCAGACUCCUACGGGAGGCAGCAGUGGGGAAUAUUGGACAAUGGGCGCAAGCCUGAUCCAGCCAUGCCGCGUGUGUGAAGAAGGCCUUAUGGUUGUAAAGCACUUUAAGCGAGGAGGAGG